rnacentral:lncRNA from 1 species
UAAGUAUAUAUGCAUAGGUUUGUCUUUAUGAAUAAUUAUAUGCUUAUAAACCAUACAACUUCAGCAGAAAAUAUAAACUUUCUUGAAAUUUAACUAAUGGUUAAUAUUUUUCCUUAUUCUGAUGGGUUAAUGGGCAGAGUAUACAAGCAUUGAGGAACCAAGACAGUACUGAAGCAUGAAACAAGAGCAUCCAAGCAUCCAUGUCAAGGCCCCUAAUUAGCAUCCUGUGUUGGCUUUCCAAAGCUGGUUGGAAGGAUAAGAGUAAGAGGCCAGGAAAUAAACAGAAACCUUUUCAAUUUGGUCUAAGGGUCAUACUAUGUUUAUCACUGGGUUUCUUUACUGCAGUAUGAUCUACUGUUGUGGUUUGACUCCAGCCAACAUCUGAACACUGGGAUUCUCUCACUUGCUCCCCUCUCCCGUGGGACAAGGAGAAAAUAGAAGGAAGACAGGAAGACUUGCGGAUUGAGAUAAAGACAUUUUAAUAGGUGAAGCAAAAGCCGUGUCUGCAAACAAAGAAAAGAAGGAAUUUAUUCACUGCUUCCUGUCGGCGGGCAGAUGUUUAGGUACUACCUGGAAAGUGGGGUCUCAGCAUGAGUAACCAUGGCUUAGAAAGAUAAACGUCAUGAUCAGAAAGGCAACUGCUGUUAAGGCAAUGCCAAAAAAGAGAAACCAGAAAUCCUCCCAACCAGAGGUCACUGUGGAGAUCUAAUUUCCAACAUAAACACCUCUUCUGCCAAUGCAAAAAAUGGUUAACUUUAGCAAAAUCAAGGACUACACCUUACUGUUGUUCCCUCUUACUUCUGGCUUCCUGAGUAAGUGGAUGGCUGGUUUGAGAGGAAAGGAGCAAUGCUAACCUGUAGCUGGUCAGUUCUUUAUUUAGCCUGAUGAAGGACCUCUAACUUUUGUCUCAUCUGAUGUAAUAAAUGUUCAGCUUGAGUGGAGAAAGCCA